UUAAUGAGGAAGAAUAAAUUUCACCCAAAUUCCUAAAUUAUCUGAAAAAUCAUUACUUUCAAAAUCAACAGAGAAUAAUGAUGUGGCCUAUUGUUAAAGAAUAGGAGCAGGUAUUCAUACAAAUAUGGCGAUAGAGAGCUUGAAUAAAUAUCUGGAAUCUAAUAAAAUAGAAGGAAAAGAAAAUAAGAGUUGAAAAGCUAUCAGAUUUGUUGGAAGAAAUAGUUGAUGAGAAGAUGUGGAUGAAAAUUAUGAGAAAUGAAAGACCUAACUCCAACAACUAUCAACAAAAAAUUUCUGUAGAAUCUCAUAAAAAAGCAGAAACAAUGAAAGACUUAAUAGAGGAGAUGACGACAACAAUUUAGAAAUUAAUGAGCCAUCAACAAGUUAACUAUAAUGAAGAUGUGGGACAUUUUAUAGAUGAAACCAUUUCUAGUUCACACAAUUUCACAUCUAUAAGCAAUGACAAAGAAAAU